rnacentral:lncRNA from 1 species
UGGCACAAAGAAAUAGGUUAGGCUGAUGGAUGCAUAUAUAGGCCUGCCUGGUUGCAAGAGAUUACAACUACAGUUAACUAUUAAUAUUUGACUGCAUUACUAGUUGAUGCUAAUCAAAGUGUGGCCUUCUGGUUGACUACAACCAUGAUAGCAACAUCACAUGUUUCAAGCCUUACAUGUGUUCUUAGAUUUUGGCAGCCAAGUGCAAAUUUUU